CCUACGGGAGGCAGCAGUGGGGAAUAUUGCACAAUGGGCGCAAGCCUGAUGCAGCCAUGCCGCGUGUGUGAAGAAGGCCUUCGGGUUGUAAAGCACUUUCAGCGGGGAGGAAGGCGUUAAGGUUAAUAACCUUGUCGAUUGACGUUACCCGCAGAAGAAGCACCGGCUAACUCCGUGCCAGCAGCCGCGGUAAUACGGAGGGUGCAAGCGUUAAUCGGAAUUACUGGGCGUAAAGCGCACGCAGGCGGUCUGUCAAGUCGGAUGUGAAAUCCCCGGGCUCAACCUGGGAACUGCAUUCGAAACUGGCAGGCUAGAGUCGUGUAGAGGGGGGUAGAAUUCCAGGGGUAGCGGUGAAAUGCGUAGAGAUCUGGAGGAAUACCGGUGGCGAAGGCGGCCCCCUGGACAAAGACUGACGCUCAGGUGCGAAAGCGUGGGGAGCAAACAGGAUUAGAUACCCGAGUAGUC
rnacentral:rRNA from 1 species